rnacentral:rRNA from 1 species
AGAACUUAGCAGAGAUGCUUUGGUGCCUUCGGGAACUCUGAGACAGGUGCUGCAUGGCUGUCGUCAGCUCGUGCUGUGAAAUGUUGGGUUAAGUCCCGCAACGAGCGCAACCCUUAUCCUUUGUUGCCAGCGGCUCGGCCGGGAACUCAAAGGAGACUGCCGGUGAUAAACCGGAGGAAGGUGGGGAUGACGUCAAGUCAUCAUGGCCCUUACGGCCAGGGCUACACACGUGCUACAAUGGCGCAUACAAAGAGAAGCGACCUCGCGAGAGCAAGCGGACCUCACAAAGUGCGUCGUAGUCCGGAUUGGAGUCUGCAACUCGACUCCAUGAAGUCGGAAUCGCUAGUAAUCGUAGAUCAGAAUGCUACGGUGAAUACGUUCCCGGGCCUUGUACACACCGCCCGUCACACCAUGGGAGUGGGUUGCAAAAGAAGUAGGUAGCUUAACCUUCGGGAGGGCGCUUACCACUUUGUGAUUCAUGACUGGGGUGAAGUCGUAACAAGGUAAGCGUAGCGAG